AAAGGCAAAGAACAAACCUUAAUGUUUUUUCGAGACAAACAUAAAAGAACAGAAAUCUACCUACCUGACAUGUAACAUGAAGAGAUGAAGCAAAAUCUAAUAUCCUGGUCUUCCGGUACCAAAUUGUAACGUUUCGCCCUACCGCCUGCCUACUUAACUCCUACCUAUUGGAUUUACUAAGAAGAUAUUUGAAACUACAACAAAACUUACUUGAGUGAAAUAAAAGUGAAACAAAUACUGCUUUGAAUUGGCCAUGAAACAUCCAGGGAAACCCUACGUUGUGUUGUAACCCAAUAAACGAAAGAUAGUGAAUUAAAUAAAACUAUGACCUAG